rnacentral:tRNA from 1 species
GAUUAGAUGUCUGAAUUAAGGUAAUUGAUUGUAAAUCAAUUUAUGGGUAUUACCCUCUAUUCA